rnacentral:lncRNA from 1 species
GGAACUCGUGGGGAGCUAAGAGAUUCAUCAGUUGUCAUUCUCUGGAAGGUAUUAAGCUGUUCCUUUAGCUCAUCUCUCUUUUAAACUCUUUUGGAUGGGUCUUAUGAAAGGCUCCCCAUGUUUAAGCUAAGAUCUGAAGUUGUAACUUCAGAUCUGGACUCCCUUUGACCUCUAGAUCCAUAAAGUCAUCAGCCUUGCCUAGUAGGAGGCUUCCCUCAAGUGUGAGACUUCAUUGUAAGCUUAGUUUUGCCAUUUAAGGGUCUUAAAGCCUUGCAUGCNCUUGCAUGCACGUAAAGUUUGUGACUUUACGUGAUAAACAUACCCUAGAAGCGUGGAUCUGUAAUUUGGAACCUUGCCUUGGCUUAAAACGCGUUUGCAUGAAUGAAGGUCUGUAAGGACUCGGCGAGUUGGAUGAAGAACUCGGCGAGCCCGUUGAAGAUGGCCAUGAACUCAACGAGUUGGAUGAACAACUCGACGAGUUCGUUGAAGAUUGCCUUGGAAUCGGCAAGUUGUUCGACGAAUUGGCGAGUCGGCUAGGGUUUCUCCCAAUUCUUGGACACAUAUGAACUCGGCGAGUUAAAUGAGAACUCGACGAGCCAAUCAGGGAUUUCACGACUUCUCGAGUUCAGGAAGGACUCGACGAAUCGGUGAACUGCACUCGAUGAGUCGAGUCAGCAUGGACUGUUGACUUUGACUGUGGACUUUGACUUGGACCAAGGGUUGACCAGUUGACUUCUGAGGGUAUUCCGGUAAUUUAGAGAUUUAUGAGAAAGGGUUUUAUGGUAACUAUAGGUGGUGGAAUUCAUGUUGGUGAUCCGGGAGUCAAGCUUUCUAGUUUCAGACGACAGUUGCAAGGUGAGUUAUCCUCACUAUACUAAGGGGUCUAAGGCACCAAGGCUGGCCCAUUGGAUAUGUCAUCCUAGCAGCGUUAGAUGUUGAGUAUGAGUUAGUGUUGCAUGCUAGUGGUUAUGUCAGUUAGGUAGACCUGUAGGACUACCUGUGAUGUUAUGUGAUUAUUGCAUAUUCAGUGGUUAUGUUAUGUGUUUCUUAUAUGGGAUGGGUUGAGGUUGUACUGCUUCAUGCGGUAGCCAACUAACCCUAGGAGCAUUCCAGUUACGAGCUAAGGGACACUCGUACUGUGGGCUUGGGGGGCAUUCCAGUUACGGGCUAAGGGAGACUCGUAUUGUGGGCUCGUGGGUAUUGCAGUCUGUAGGGCUGUGGACCCGUUAUGUACUAUUAUGUUCAUUUUGUGAUGAUAUGUUAUUGCUGACGCGGUUAUGUGGACUGUAUGUGUAUCGGUAUUUUGGGGGUAACUCACUAAGCUUUUGGGCUUACAGUUUCAGUUUAUUGUUUCAGGUACAUCAGGGGAUCGCGGCAAGGCGAAGGCAUGAUUGUAUAGCCCCUCAUAUUAUGUUUAUAUUUCUGGGAAUACUCUGAUAUAUAAUAUUUUGAAAACAAAGUUGUAAUGUUUUGAUGAAGUUGACAUGUUUUAAAGUUUAAAUUGGUUUGAAAUUUUUGGGUGUUACAAGUUGGUAUCAGAGCCUUGGUUUGAGUGAAUUGGAGGAACACUCGUGUAACUCCAAUCUCAAAUCAAGGAAAGGAAUUUCAAAAUGAUUUUUUAAGGGUUUUCAAAAUAAAUAAAGGAGGAUGCAGGGUGUACGAUCAGCCGGAGCCAGUAAGUAGACCCCAAAAUACCAUACAAGUUAUUUGAUUAUGGAUAUGUUAGAAUAGCAUGUUAGUAUUAGGCUAGGGAUCUUCAGAAAUUGCACAAUAGAAUUGUCUGAUUUCAUGAUGCCUGCUAGCCUAGGGUUUCCUUUAUAUGAAAUUGACAUCAUUACUGUAGUUGCUUAGUGUAUGCAUCACAGUUAUAUAUAAUUAAGAUCUUAUAGCCUGAGAAUGUUUGAUUUAGCCUUAUGUUCUGUUCUUGUUUUAUUGGGAGCUUAGGGUAGGAUUGGAUAUUCGAAAGUCUAUAGGGUCCAGCGUUAUGUAUGGCUAGCAUACACUAGUGCUACAGGGUUGGUGGGAGUUUCAUGGAUAGGUGGGUUGAGUUAGGCCGGGAGGCCAGUUAUGAGAUGUUCAUCAUUCCUCUAUGGUGAGAAUUGAGUGCUCGUUAUGUUGUGUAUUCAGUUAGGGCAUUGUGAUGAUGCUUGAGACAACUAUGGGUAGGUAUGGAAGGUAGUAUGGGCCCGUACUACUAAAAGCACAGGACCCAUAUGUGUGUCAAGUAAGUCACAAUCCCUAGGGUUAGUAGGGAACUAUCUCCCAGUUAUUUAUAUUGAUUAUUUGAUAUCUUGUGGUAUGUUUCAAAAUGGUGAUGACGAGGCACAUUGUGGCUGGAUCCGGUUCGGGAUCAUGAUCAGGGGACAGAGGCCAGGAGGGGCCAACAGCACCUAAGUCGGUGAUGCAGAUGGGUACAGAGGAGUUGGAUGCCAGGAUUCGGGAAAUCCUGCAUGAUGAGGUUGUUGCUGCAUUCCGGGCUCAGUUACCGGAGAUGUUCGGGUCGAUUAAGACCGCCAUGGUGGAGUAUUUUGAUGAGCGCUACGCAGCCCAUGCUGAGACAGCUGCAUCGGCUGUAUAAGCAGCAGGGGGAGGAGCUGGUAGAGGUUUUCAGUAUAGGGACUUCGAUAACACGAAGACCCAUACUUUUGAUGGGACGCAGGAUCCCAUCAAGGCUAUGAGAUGGAUUUCAUAUGUGGAGGGGUGUUUCUUCACCUGCUCGUGUCCUGUUGACCAGAGGGUCAGGUGUGCUUUGAACCUGCUUAGGUUUGGGGCCAAGGACUGGUGGAGGCUUGCGACUGGGUUGUACGCUGAUGAGCAGAGAGCUGUUGUUACUUAGGAGCAGUUCAGAGACAUGUUUCGCGCCCGUUACAUUCUAUAGGUUGAGCGGGAGCGGUUGGCACAGGAGUUCCUGAGUUUGAGAUAGGAUGGGCAGUCGGUGAUGGAGAUCACCCGUAUGUUCACUGAGCGGGCGAUGUUCUCCCCAGAGUUUGCUUCCGAGUAGUCUCAGAUGACUCGUUAUCUAAGUAUGCUCAAGACUAAUAUCCGACAGUUUGUAUCUACCCAGCGAUGUGAUACUCUUCUGGAGUUACAGGAGGCCGCUAGACGGCAGGAGUUAGAGAUUGAGUUGCAGCUGAGGGAGCAGCGGCCGGCCCCGACACAGUCGCAGUUGGCGCCGAAGCGGUCAAAGACCGCUGAUUUGAGGUCUGGGAGUCAGCAGAGCCGCUCUUGUGGAAAGUGCGGAAGGGUUCAUUUCGGGAUUUGUCGAGCCAGUAGUGGGUGCCAUAGGUGUGGCAAGGAGGGGCACUAUGCGAAGGAUUGUCGCCAGGCCGCUCCCAUACCGAGUAUGAAGUUAUGUUACCAUUGUGAUCAGGUUGGCCAUUUGAAGGCCAACUGCCCGUUACUCGCCGCUAAACCGCCGCAGGCUCCAGCGCCGACUACUUUGAGGAUCACGGAUGGGAGACCAGUUAGGGCAAAGCCUCCGAAGGCUCAGGGUCGUGCCUUCCAGCUUAUAGCGGAGAAGGCCAGAGCAGCACCAGAUGUGGUUGCUGGUAUGUUUNNNNNNNNNNNNNNNNNNNNNNNNNNNNNNNNNNNNNNNNNNNNNNNNNNNNNNNNNNNNNNNNNNNNNNNNNNNNNNNNNNNNNNNNNNNNNNNNNNNNAAUUAAUCUAAGAGUUGAUUCUAAAAUGUGUUUGUGUAACUUGUUAACCAGGAAGGGAUUUUGGUUACAAGAGGUCCAGUUCCUCGGACAUCUUGUUAACCAGGAAGGGAUUUUGGUCGAUCCGGCCAAAAUUGAGGCGGUUAUGCAGUGGGAGAUUCCGAAAUCACCCUCGGAUAUUAGGAGUUUUCUGGGAUUGGCAGGGUAUUAUCGGAGGUUCAUUCAAAAUUUAUCCAAGAUUGCAGUACCCCUCACUCGUUUGACGAGGAAGGGGGUGGAUUUCCGGUGGGGCCUCGAGCACCAGAGGGCGUUUGAGACCCUCUGUCAGCGUUUGAGUGAGGCACCAGUCUUGACAUUCCCAGAGGGAGUUGAGGAUUUUGUGGUGUUCUGUGAUGCAACCAUCACAGGUUUAAGGACGUCCUUAUGCAGAGAGGACGAGUGAUAGCCUACGCAUCGCGGCAGCUGAAGCCGCAUGAGACGAGAUACCCGAUGCAUGACUUGGAGCUGGGAGCGGUGGUGUUCGCCCUCAAGAUAUGGAGACAUUACCUCUAUAGGGUCCGCUGUACCAUUUACACGGAUCACAAGAGCUUGAGACAUAUCAUGGAUCAGCCGAACCUGAACAUGAGGCAGCGCAUGUGGUUAGAUGUAGUCAAGGACUACGAUUACGAGAUCCUUUACCAUCCUGGUAAAGCGAAUGUGGUUGCGGAUGCCUUGAGCCGCAAGUCAGCUGGGUCUUCCACCUCCAAGGUAUGUAUGAGGAUAGCGGUGGAUUCUCCACUUGUGAGUUUGAUCAGAGAUACCCAGGUAGAGGACAUGCGACCGGAGAAUUGGAAGGUGGAGAGGAUCAAGGGUGAUAAUACCCGGUUCGUGCAGGAUAGUCGGGGACUAUUGACCCGAUGUGGUCGGGUUUGGGUUCCGAUGUCUGGUGGGGUUAGGCAGACGGUUAUGGAGGAGGCUCAUAAGUCUCAUUUCUCUAUUCACAUAAGGGCCACCAAGAUGUACCGGGAUUUGAGUUUGAGCUAUUGGUGGCCGUGCAUGAAGCGAGAGAUCGCUUGGUACGUCGAGAGAUGCUUGACCUGUAGGAUGGUCAAGGCCGAGCAUCAGAGGCAUCAUGGAAAGCUGCAGCCUCUAGAGAUUCUCAUGUGGAAAUGGGAAUAGAUCACAAUGGAUUUUAUUACCAAGUUGUCGAGGACGGCGAAGGGGUUUGAUGCUAUAAGGGCCAUCAUGGAUCGAUUGACCAAGAGUGCCCAUUUUUUGGCUAUAUGGGUGAGCUCAUCGGCCGAGAAAUUGGCCGAAGUGUACUUUCGCGAGAUCGUAUCUCGCCAUGGGGUUCCCGUUUCCAUUGUCUCUGAUCGGGAUGUUAGGUUUACCUCUUGCUUCUGGCAAAAGUUUCACGAGGAGCUGCGCAUGCGGUAGCACUUCAGCACAUCAUUCCACCCGCAGACAGACAGCCAGAGCGAGUGGACUAUUCAGACCCUCGAGGACAUGUUGAGGGUGUGUGUCAUUGAUUUUGGUGGGAGUUGGGAUUCUCACCUACCGCUUGCGGAGUUCGCCUACAACAACCGCUAUCAUUCUAGCCUUUGCGCCCCGCCUUUCGAGCUGUUGUACGGGCGGAGAUGUCGCACCCAGGUUUGUUGGGGAAAGGUUGGCCACAGGGUGAUGGGUAGGAUGGAGGUGGUCUUGCAGACUACCGAGAAGAUUCAGCAGAUUAGGCAGCGGCUGCAGACCGCUCAGAGUCGGCAGAAGAGUUACGCCGACCGGCGCUGCUCCGAGUUAGAGUCUCAGGUCGGUGACAUGGUACUCCUAAAGGUAUCUCCCUGGAAAGGCGUGAUUCGCUUCAGGAAGAGGGUAAAAUUGGGUUCCCGAUAUAUUGGGUCGUUCAGAAUCAUUUCUAGGGUUGGCAAGGUAGCUUACAGGCUAGAGCUACCGGAGGAGCUUAGUCGGAUACACAACAUUUUCCACGUGUCGCAGCUGCGAAAGUGCAUUAUGGAUCAAGAGGAGGUGGUGCCGCUGAAUGAUAUUCAGGUUAAUGAACGCCUGAAUUUCAUAGAGAGGCAUGUGGUCGUACUGGAGAAGAAGAUGAAGAUUCUGAAGAAUAAGGAGAUACCUUUGGUGAAAGUUCAAUGGGACCAUCGGAGAGGGUCUGAGUGGACGUGGGAGUCGGAGGUUGAAAUGUGGGAGCAUUACCCUGAGUUAUUCGUUGCAGCAGACUUCUAGGGCGAACUAGUUCAAGUGCGGGAGAGUUGUAACGCCCCGAUUCUCAGGUACUGAUUUAAUCUAUGAAUUCUUAGUUUCAAGGGCUACUCGACGAGUUGAUUGCCCUACUCGUCGAGUAGCAGCGAGUUGGUCCACGCAUUUUAAUGACCUACUCGCCGAGUCCAAGAAGGGACUCGACGAGUAGGAGUUAGUAGGUGAAACCCUAAAUUUUGGGAAUUUACACCCUAUUUAAAGGAUCAUUGGCCUCCCCCAGCCUCCCCUUUACUGCCCUUUGCCCCUCUCAACCCUAAAUCGUGUGUGUGUGUGUGUUCUUUUGGUGUGUUCAAGCUUGGAAAAGGAAACACUUGGGGAAAACAAGGAAAUCAAGGCUAGGAACUCGUGGGGAGCUAAGAGAUUCAUCAGUUGUCAUUCUCUGGAAGGUAUUAAGCUGUUCCUUUAGCUCAUCUCUCUUUUAACCUCUUUUGGAUGGGUCUUAUGAAAGGCUCCCCAUGUUUAAGCUAAGAUCUGAAGUUGUAACUUCAGAUCUGGACUCCCUUUGACCUCUAGAUCCAUAAAGUCAUCAGCCUUGCCUAGUAGGAGUCUUCCCUCAAGUGUGAGACUUCAUUGCAAGCUUAGUUUUGCCAUUUAAAGGUCUUAAAGCCUUGCAUACACGUAAAGUUUGUGACUUUACGUGAUAAACAUACCCUAGAAGCGUGGAUCUGUAAUUUGGAACCUUGCCUUGGCUUAAAACGCGUUUGCAUGAAUGAAGGUCUGCAAGGACUCGGCG